UACAGAGGGGGCAAGCGUUGUUCGGAAUUACUGGGUCGUAAAGGGCGCGUAGGUCGGCCCGCUAAGUCGAAAUCGUGAAAUCCCCGAGCUCAACUCGGGAACUGCGUCCGAUACUGGCGGGCUUGAAUCCGGGAGAGGGAUGCGGAAUUCCAGGUGUAGCGGUGAAAUGCGUAGAUAUCUGGAGGAACACCGGUGGCGAAGGCGGCAUCCUGGACCGGCAUUGACGCUGAGGCGCGAAAAGCUAGGGGAGCAAACAGGG
rnacentral:rRNA from 1 species